rnacentral:rRNA from 1 species
GAUGAACGCUGGCGGCGUGCCUAAUACAUGCAAGUCGAGCGAACAGACGAGGAGCUUGCUCCUCUGACGUUAGCGGCGGACGGGUGAGUAACACGUGGAUAACCUACCUAUAAGACUGGGAUAACUUCGGGAAACCGGAGCUAAUACCGGAUAAUAUAUUGAACCGCAUGGUUCAAUAGUGAAAGACGGUUUUGCUGUCGCUUAUAGAUGGAUCCGCGCCGCAUUAGCUAGUUGGUAAGGUAACGGCUUACCAAGGCGACGAUGCGUAGCCGACCUGAGAGGGUGAUCGGCCACACUGGAACUGAGACACGGUCCAGACUCCUACGGGAGGCAGCAGUAGGGAAUCUUCCGCAAUGGGCGAAAGCCUGACGGAGCAACGCCGCGUGAGUGAUGAAGGUCUUCGGAUCGUAAAACUCUGUUAUUAGGGAAGAACAAAUGUGUAAGUAACUAUGCACGUCUUGACGGUACCUAAUCAGAAAGCCACGACUAACUACGUG